AGUGAACGCUGGCGGUAGGCCUAACACAUGCAAGUCGAACGGCAGCACAGUAAGAGCUUGCUCUUACGGGUGGCGAGUGGCGGACGGGUGAGGAAUACAUCGGAAUCUACUUUUUCGUGGGGGAUAACGUAGGGAAACUUACGCUAAUACCUCAUAUGACCUACGGGUGAAAUCAGGGGAUCUUCGCACCUUUCGCGAUAGAAUGAGCCGAUGUCGGAUUAGCUAGUUGGCGGGGUAAAGGCCCACCAAGGCGACGAUCCGUAGCUGGUCUGAGAGGAUGAUCAGCCACACUGGAACUGAGACACGGUCCAGACUCCUACGGGAGGCAGCAGUAGGGAAUAUUGGACAAUGGGCGCAAGCCUGAUCCAGCCAUGCCGCGUGGGUGAAGAAGGCCUUCGGGUUGUAAAGCCCUUUUGUUGGGAAAGAAAAGCAGCAGGUUAAUACCCCGCUGUUCUGACGGUACCCAAAGAAUAAGCACCGGCUAACUUCGUG
rnacentral:rRNA from 1 species